GCCAAAAGAUUUUGUAAGGCGAGUUUGAGAGGGACGGUCUGCCAACCUGAACGAGAAACGGUCAGAUCUACGGAGGCAGCAGUGGGAUUUGACAUGGGGCACCUGAUCAGCAUCGCGGAGUGAGAGCUCGGGUGUAAAUCGCUUCGACGAAAGAAAUCGCGCAGGCUAUAUCCUGUGUGAUGACGGUACCGUAAGAAGAAGCACCGGCUAACUACGUGCCAGCAGCCGCGGUAAUACGUAGGGUGCGAGCGUUAAUCGGAAUUACUGGGCGUAAAGCGUGCGCAGGCGGAUAUUUAAGUCAGACGUGAAAUCCCCGGGCUUAACCUGGGAAUUGCGUUUGAAACUGGAUAUCUAGAGUGCGUCAGAGGGGGGUGGAAUUCCACGUGUAGCAGUGAAAUGCGUAGAGAUGUGGAGGAACACCGAUGGCGGAGGCAGCCCCCUGGGAUGACACUGACGCUCAUGCACGAAAGCGUGGGUAGCAAACAGGAUUAGAUACCCUGGUAGUCCACGCCCUAAACGAUGCCAACUAGGUGUUGGGGAAGGAGACUUCCUUAGUACCGUAGCUAACGCGUGAAGUUGGCCGCCUGGGGAGUACGGUCGCAAGAUUAAAACUCAAAGGAAUUGACGGGGACCCGCACAAGCGGUGGAUGAUGUGGAUUAAUUCGAUGCAACGCGAAAAACCUUACCUACCCUUGACAUGCCAGGAAUCCCGCUGAGAGGUGGGAGUGCUCGAAAGAGAACCUGGACACAGGUGCUGCAUGGCUGUCGUCAGCUCGUGUCGUGAGAUGUUGGGUUAAGUCCCGCAACGAGCGCAACCCUUGUCCUUAGUUGCCACCAUUCAGUUGGGCACUCUAAGGAGGCUGCCGGUGUUAAACCGGAGGAAGGUGGGGAUGACGUCAAGUCCUCAUGGCCCUUAUAUCCAGGGCUACACACGUGCUACAAUGGCCGGUACAAAGGGUCGCAAUACCGCGAGGUGGAGCUAAUCCCAAAAAGCCGGUCUCAGUUCGGAUUGGAGUCUGCAACUCGACUCCAUGAAGUCGGAAUCGCUAGUAAUCGCGUAUCAGCAUGACGCGGUGAAUACGUUCCCGGGCCUUGUACACACCGCCCGUCACACCACGGGAGUCGAUUGUACCUGAAGUCGGUGGGCUAACCCGCAAGGGGAGCAGCUGCCUAUGGUAUGGUCGGUGACUGGGGUGAAGUCGUAACAAGGUAGCCGU
rnacentral:rRNA from 1 species